rnacentral:rRNA from 1 species
GUCUUUUUGAUUAUAAUUUAAAGUCUAACCUGCCCACUGAAUAUUUAAAUGGCCGCAGUAUUUUGACUGUGCAAAGGUAGCAUAAUCAUUAGUUUUUUAAUUAAAAACUGGAAUGAAAGGUUGAACGAGAAAAUAUCUGUCUCUUUAUAAAUUAUUUAGAAUUUUAUUUUUAAGUUAAAAAGCUUAAAUAAAAUUAAAAGACGAGAAGACCCUAUAGAAUUUUAUAUAAUUUAUUUGUAUUAUUAAAAUUAGAAUUUAUUAUUUAUAUAAAUAUAAUAUAUUUGAUUGGGGUGAUUGAAAAAUUUAUUAAACUUUUUUUUUAUGAAAACAUUUAUUUAUGGUUGAUUGAUCCAUUUAUUAUGAUUAAAAGAUUAAAUUACCUUAGGGAUAACAGCGUUAUUUCUUUUAAGAGUUCAAAUCGAUAAAGAAGUUU